rnacentral:rRNA from 1 species
UACGAAGGGUGCAAGCGUUACUCGGAAUUACUGGGCGUAAAGCGUGCGUAGGCGGUUUGUUAAGUCUGUUGUGAAAGCCCCGGGCUCAACCUGGGAAUGGCAAUGGAAACUGGCGAGCUAGAGUACGGUAGAGGAGAGUGGAAUUCCCGGUGUAGCAGUGAAAUGCGUAGAGAUCGGGAGGAACAUCAGUUGCGAAGGCGGCUCUCUGGACCAGUACUGACGUUGAGGCACGAAAGCGUGGGGAGCAAACAGG